UAAAACAUUUGUGUUUCUACAAUAUAUACAUCUUCCUUAUGUCCUGGCAGUCCUGCAUACAUGCGAACUGUCACAGUGAGGUGAGGUGGAAGCAGAUGUGCCCUGGAUAAAGUAAAUGAGAUCCUGGUGUGCUCCUUACAUCACAGACAUUGCAAUUACUGGCAAUGAGUUCGUGUGUAGCUGCGUGAGCCCUCGGACUUCAGACGAAUUCUACCCUCUUACCAUAUGAAUGCUGGGAGAAUAUCAUUUCGAAUGUUUGAUCUUGUGCUUAGGAAGGUCCUGCAUCCACCACUAUAUAUAAUAUGAAACUGACAAUUCAGCUUGGCACUCAAGCCCUCAGGCUACCUGGUGAACAGUGGGUGAAUAGUGACUAGAAUUACUUUCAAGGCUGGUCCAUUUUGCUAUGUUGCUCCCUGUAUAUUUUAAAACUCCUCUGAAUGUGUUGUGGACUUCUUCAUAGCUGAUUCAUUGAAUUGUGAGGAUUCAAUUGGAAAAGACUUGCAAAGUACAAAGGAAUGGUAACUAUUAUUCUUUUCUUCUUUU
rnacentral:sRNA from 1 species